rnacentral:rRNA from 1 species
AAACCAACUGGGAUUACCUUAGUAACGGCGAGUGAAGCGGUAAAAGCUCAAAUUUGAAAUCUGGUACUUUCAGUGCCCGAGUUGUAAUUUGUAGAAUUUGUCUUUGAUUAGGUCCUUGUCUAUGUUCCUUGCAACAGGACGUCAUAGAGGGUGAGAAUCCCGUUUGGCGAGGAUACCUUUUCUCUGUAAGACUUUUUCGAAGAGUCGAGUUGUUUGGGAAUGCAGCUCAAAGUGGGUGGUAAAUUCCAUCUAAAGCUAAAUAUUGGCGAGAGACCGAUAGCGAACAAGUACAGUGAUGGAAAGAUGAAAAGAACUUUGAAAAGAGAGUGAAAAAGUACGUGAAAUUGUUGAAAGGGAAGGGCAUUUGAUCAGACAUGGUGUUUUUGCAUGCACUCGCCUCUCGUGGGCUUGGGCCUCUCAAAAAUUUCACUGGGCCAACAUCAAUUCUGGCAGCAGGAUAAAUCAUUAAGAAUGUAGCUACUUCGGUAGUGUUAUAGCUUUUUGGAAUACUGUUAGCCGGGUA